rnacentral:rRNA from 1 species
ACCGGCGCACGGGUGAGUAACACGUAUCCAACCUGCCCUUUACUCGGGGAUAGCCUUUCGAAAGAAAGAUUAAUACCCGAUAUAAAGGAUGGGGAUGCGUUCCAUUAGGUUGUUGGUGAGGUCACGGCUCACCAAGCCUUCGAUGGAUAGGGGUUCUGAGAGGGAGGUCCCCCACAUUGGAACUGAGACACGGUCCAAACUCCUACGGGAGGCAGCAGUGAGGAAUAUUGGUCAAUGGGCGCUAGCCUGAACCAGCCAAGUAGCGUGAAGGAUGAAGGCUUAUGGGUCGUAAACUUCUUUUAUAUAAGAAUAUGUAUUAUAUGAAUAAGGAUCGGCUAACUCCGUGCCAGCAGCCGCGGUAAUACGGAGGAUCCGAGCGUUAUCCGGAUUUAUUGGGUUUAAAGGGAGCGUAGGUGGACUGGUAAGUCAGUUGUGGAAGUUUGCGGCUCAACCGUAAAAUUGCAGUUGAUACUGUCAGUCUUGAGUACAGUAGAGGUGGGCGGAAUUCGUGGUGUAGCGGUGAAAUGCUUAGAUAUCACGAAGAACUCCGAUUGC